rnacentral:rRNA from 1 species
AGCGAACGCUGGCGGCAGGCCUAACACAUGCAAGUCGAGCGCCGUAGCAAUACGGAGCGGCAGACGGGAGAGUAACACGUGGGAACGUACCCUUUGGUUCGGAACAACCCAGGGAAACUUGGGCUAAUACCGGAUAAGCCCUCAUGGGGAAAGAUUCAUCGCCGAAGGAUCGGCCCGCGUCUGAUUAGCUAGUUGGUGGGGUAAUGGCCCACCAAGGCGACGAUCAGUAGCUGGUCUGAGAGGAUGAUCAGCCUCACUGGGACUGAGACACGGCCCAGACUCCUACGGGAGGCAGCAGUGGGGAAUAUUGGACAAUGGGCGCAAGCCUGAUCCAGCCAUGCCGCGUGGGUGAUGAAGGCCUUAGGGUUGUAAAGCCCUUUCGGCGGGGAAGAUAAUGACGGUACCCGCAGAAGAAGCCCCGGCUAACUUCGUGCCAGCAGCCGCAGUAACAC